rnacentral:rRNA from 1 species
AUUAUUGAAGAACUGUUGGAUGAGUUGCACGGUGCAGUGUGGUUCUCCAAGCUGGAUUUGCGCGCGGGGUAUCACCAAAUUCGUUUGGCCGAAGGGGAGGAAUUUAAAAUAGCUUUCCAAACCCACUCAGGUCACUACGAAUUCAAAGUGCUUUCGUUUGGACAGCCAGGAGGACCUGGUACCUUUAAUGGAGCAAUUACUGAAACAAUGCACCCCCUCUUGAGGCACCGCGUCUUGCUUUUCUUUGAUGACAUCCUUGUUUUUAGCAAGACUUGGGAGGAUCAUUUAGCCCACCUCCGACAGGUUCUCGAGCUUCUGCGCAGAGACCAAUGGAAAGUGAAGGAGUCCAAGUGGACAACAGCAAUU